rnacentral:rRNA from 1 species
AUUGAACGCUGGCGGCAGGCCUAACACAUGCAAGUCGAACGAGCGGCGGACGGGUGAGUAAUGUAUGGGGACCUGCCUGAUAGAGGGGGAUGAAGAGUGGAAACGGUGGCUAACACCGCAUACGAUGGGUUGAGCCCAUGUGGGUUUAGCGAGUAGGUGGGGUAAAGGCUCACCUAGGCGACGAUCCCUAGCAGGUCUGAGAGGCUGAUCAGCCACACUGGGACUGAGACACGGCCCAGACUCCUACGGGAGGCAGCAGUGGGGAAUAUUGCACAAUGGACGCAAGCCUGAUGCAGCCAUGCCGCGUGUAUGAAGAAGGCCUUAGGGUUGUAAAGUACUUUUGGCGGGGAGGCGUUACCCGCAGAAGAAGCACCGGCUAACUCCGUGCCAGCAGCCGCGGUAAUUC